UCCUGCAGUCGAACGAUGAACCACUUCGGUGGGGAUUAGUGGCGAACGGGUGAGUAACACGUGGGCAAUCUGCCCUGCACUCUGGGACAAGCCCUGGAAACGGGGUCUAAUACCGGAUACUGAGGUCCGCAGGCAUCUGUGGUUCUCGAAAGCUCCGGCGGUGCAGGAUGAGCCCGCGGCCUAUCAGCUUGUUGGUGAGGUAACGGCUCACCAAGGCGACGACGGGUAGCCGGCCUGAGAGGGCGACCGGCCACACUGGGACUGAGACACGGCCCAGACUCCUACGGGAGGCAGCAGUGGGGAAUAUUGCGCAAUGGGCAAAAAAAUGAUGGGGCGCCCCCCCCUGCGGGAUGACGGCCUUCUAAUUGUGAAGCUCUUUCCCCCCGCAAGAAGCGAAAGUGACGGUACCUGAAGAAGACUCUCCUGCUAACUACGUGCCAGCAGCCGCGGUAAUACGUAGGGCGCGAGCGUUGUCCCGAAUUAUUGGGCGUAAAGAGCUCGUAGGCGGCUUGUCGCGUCGGUUGUGAAAGCCCGGGGCUUACCCCCGGGUCUGCAGUCGAUACGGGCAGGCUAGAGUUCGGUAGGGGAGAUCGGAAUUCCUGGUGUAGCGGUGAAAUGCGCAGAUAUCAGGAGGAACACCGGGUGGCGAAGGCGGAUCUCUGGGCCGAUGCUGACGCUGAGGACCGAAAGCGUGGGGAGCGAACAGGAUUA
rnacentral:rRNA from 1 species